CUGGGCAUCUGUGGGCAUCUUACCGGACAGUGCUGGAUUUCUCGGCUCGACUCUAACACUGUCUGGUAACGAUGUUCAAAGGUGACCCGC
ensembl:miRNA Mir200a microRNA 200a